GAAAACUAUACCCAGUUAAAAUAUGUGAUGCGGCUCUUCCGCCUAUCAAAUAGUUCCACCCACAAGCCGAAAUAGUGCCGUGGUCACGCGGAGGGAUACAUUUGGCCGUGGCGCGAUGCAACUUGACAGACGUCAAUCAACGCCGGCCGGUGCGUCACUUCGAGUAAAAUGAAUUAUUACGCCGGCAGUUCUUUCCUUACUGAGUGGCCACGUUCACACAACCGGUUUUCCAGCUUGCUCAGCGGCUCCUCCUGGCAGGAUCUUGGACAAGACGCUGUCUCCCUCCAUGCCCGGCUGACCUGCCGCCGCACUGCCUAUCCCUCCCGGCCUCGGAGCAGCUUUGGAGCCUGCACGGGAUGAUUAAGACAAUGAGGAUGAGGACAGAAAGGUGGGAGGAAAGGAACUCAUGAUGCAGUUUUCUGCCGCUUCUGUUCUUCAAGCUGCUGCUGGAGCUGUUGCUGCAAGGACUGGAUCUGGUCUAGCUGGGACUUCUGUUGAGCAAGCUGCUCCCUCUGGACCACAAGCUGAUUCUCUCGUUCUUGUUGCUGCUGUUGUAGUACCUAAAAUGCAGAAACCGAAAGAAUCGCAGAUUGACUAAACAGAUCAAUGAGCCUAGUAGGAAUGAGACUGUGGAAUGAAAGUCGCGAGAGGGGGUGAGAGGAGAAGCAGUCAAUGAUGCUGAGAAUUCUACAUAUCUGCUUAGAGAUGUAAAUUAAAAAAUCACCAGCGUCCUGAAAAAGCAUGUGUCAUGGAGUUAUUCUUGGAAGGGUUGGAAAAAAGCCAAAUUUCAAUGUAUUGCUAAAAAAAUAAAAAUGCAAGUACCACACAAUGGACAGCAUCAGUUGCUCGUGCCAGUCAUGUAAUGCCCAGAAGAAAACAUUUCAAUAUUUAUUUGCAUAAAUGAUAGGCUGUUGCAAAUAAAAGAGCAGGGGGGCUUUUGCUGCUACAGUAGGUUAUGGGAUGCAGUAACAUUUUCUUGUUUGCAUGUUUUAUUAGCAUCAAGCAAAGCUUCCACACCUGUUGAACAGAGUAAACUUGAAAGAUUUUCAACUGCUUGUUCUAUUAAAAAAAGAAGACAAUCAUUAUGUUAGCUCUUCAGUUAAACCUUGAAACACGUUCAUAAUAGGGAACAAUUCUUAGAUUAGGCAUGUUUACACAUUUACAAUGUCAUCUUUUUUUUAAUAAAAAUUCAGACCAACAAUCGGUGUUCAAAUUGGAUAAUUUUCUAGGUGGUGAAAACUAUCAUGUGGACAACUUGAAUAAACAAUGUGUGCUUUUGAG